CUGGGUAAUCGUACUUAAUACACAAGUCUAAGGUUCUGCAGGAAAGAAAUCAUCUUUGGUAUCUGCAUCAGGCUAAUAUUAUUAACAUUUGGAUUUUGCUUUGGGAUAGAGCUUAGAUCGGAAGAGCA